rnacentral:rRNA from 1 species
GGGUGCACUCAUACCAGCACUAAUGCACCGGAUCCUAUCAAAAUUCCACAGUUAAGCGAGCUUGGGCGAGAGUAGUACUAGAAUGGGUGACCUCCUUGGAAAUCCUCGUAUUGCACCCC